CCUACGGGCGGCAGCAGUGAGGAAUAUUGGUCAAUGGACGAGAGUCUGAACCAGCCAAGUAGCGUGAAGGAUGACUGCCCUAUGGGUUGUAAACUUCUUUUAUAUGGGAAUAAAACGUUCCACGUGUGGGAUUUUGUAUGUACCAUAUGAAUAAGGAUCGGCUAACUCCGUGCCAGCAGCCGCGGUAAUACGGAGGAUCCGAGCGUUAUCCGGAUUUAUUGGGUUUAAAGGGAGCGUAGGUGGAUUGUUAAGUCAGUUGUGAAAGUUUGCGGCUCAACCGUAAAAUUGCAGUUGAAACUGGCAGUCUUGAGUACAGUAGAGGUGGGCGGAAUUCGUGGUGUAGCGGUGAAAUGCUUAGAUAUCACGAAGAACUCCGAUUGCGAAGGCAGUUCACUGGACUGCAACUGACACUGAGGCUCGAAAGUGUGGGUAUCAAACAGGAUUAGAUACCUGAGUAGUC
rnacentral:rRNA from 1 species